AGUGAAGAUGGCGGCUUUCUUUCUGCCUAGUUAGAGAUUUAUUGCCAAAACGCAACAUAUAGUAAACUGUGCUAAUAAGCUCAACUCUCAUGAUAGGACUGGUUAUAACUCCAACUUUAUGUGAUCAGGUUAGGUAAAAAAAAACUUGCAUGUCCUAUUUUCUAGUCUGGAGUGCUUCUUUUUUUUUAAGAGAAAAAGAAUGAUGACUUGUAGCCCUCAUCUGGUGGGUAAUUAGCUUGUGUUUCACAUUUUUCAGUCCUUAUACUGGGAUCACACACUUCCACUCCUGGAGAAAUGCUAGAGAUCUAGGAGGUGGUACCCUACGCUCUGCUUCCUGCGCAGUGGCUCCAUUGGAGCAGCCAAUUUGUGAACUGGAUACUGACAAUGUGCAGGUUUACAUUCGUGUAAGAGAAGGAGCUCACCACUUCAGGAUAUAUUCCUUUCAAGAUAGCAUCUGGAAAAGGCUUACUGCAAAGUUUUGACUGUUCGACUUAGACUGUUUCAGUUAUACUUCAUUCUUACCCUCAGAUUCUGCAAAACAGUACUUAUGUGACAAAAGGCCAUGCAAAGCUGUACAGGAGUGAAUUUCACCUUUGGGGAUUAAUUAUAAAGAGGUUUUGGUGAUGAACAAUUUUGAAGUGUUUCAAAAAGAUAGCUAAAUCUCUCCAGUGUGUGUUUAAAAGAAAGAAGAAAAUAAUUAAUUCAAAAUGUCAGAUUUUGUGGGAUUGUGGUAUCAAAUCAUAAGCAUCCAUGACUAUUUUAAUUUCUCUGUACUCCCAAAUUAAAAUAAAACACACAGAAAGAAGAGCUCUUUAACUUCAAACAGUUGUACUGGACCUUGCCUCCAGAGCCAGUUCUAAGUAACUGGCUCUCUGAUCCUGUGCAAAAUAGCUAGCAUAGGCAGCUAAAAUUAACUAAAUCAAAAUUAUCCCUCAUUGCUCCAGCUUCUGCCCUCAAUCAGCCUUGGAAUUUUGAUUCAACCUUUGUUCCAAAAAGUGGAAUUGCUUCUGUAACUUAAAGUACAAAUUCACAUAAAAAGUGACCUCAUGGCUGGAAAGUCAUUUUCACAGGGAAAAGAAGCCAGUACAGGUAAUGUGAAAAUAACACCUCUAACAGUUUGACAAAGUAGGAUCUUUGGGUUACCUUGGGUUAAUUUUCAAGUUUGGGAGAAUAAAGCAUCUGAAAGGUUAAAAAUGGUUCAAAAUCUAGUCUCUACAGCUUAUAUGUUGUCUAGGCAGUAUUUUCAGAAGGCUCAGGUGUUCAAAAUCUAGGCAACCAUAACAAUUCAGUCUGAAAUUCAUUCUUUCCCCUGGCUGCCUUCUGCUCCUUGAAAUCUGCCCAGCAAGGUUUACAUUUUCUUUGAUGUAUGGAGAAGUUUCUGAAAUGAGGAACCUUGAAACUACCAAUAAAAGCUGUGUUAAACUACACCCCCACCCACCAUAUUGUUAAUUUCCCCUUAACUAUUUACUUAAUCAUAGACAUCUCAAAAUAAAACUCUUCAGAUGUGGGA